UACGUAGGGUGCGAGCGUUAAUCGGAAUUACUGGGCGUAAAGCGUGCGCAGGCGGUUUUGUAAGCCAGAUGUGAAAGCCCCGGGCUUAACCUGGGAAUGGCAUUUGGGACUGCAAGGCUUGAGUGCGGCAGAGGAGACUGGAAUUCCUGGUGUAGCAGUGGAAAUGCGUAGAUAUCAGGAGGAAUACCGAUGGCGAAGGCAGGUCUCUGGGCUGACACUGACGCUCAUGCACCGAAAGCGUGGGGA
rnacentral:rRNA from 1 species